CCUACGGGAGGCAGCAGUGAGGAAUAUUGGUCAAUGGGAGGAAUCCUGAACCAGCCAUGCCGCGUGCAGGACGACGGCUCUACGAGUUGUAAACUGCUUUUGUACCGGGGUAAAAUGCUCUACGAGUAGGGUUUUGAAAGUACGGUACGAAUAAGGAUCGGCUAACUCCGUGCCAGCAGCCGCGGUAAUACGGAGGAUCCGAGCGUUAUCCGGAUUCAUUGGGUUUAAAGGGUGCGUAGGUUGUUUUAUAAGUUAGCGGUGAAAUACCGAUGCUCAACAUCGGGGCUGCCGCUAAUACUGUAAGACUCGAGUUCAGACGAGGUAAGCGGAAUAAGUUAAGUAGCGGUGAAAUGCUUAGAUAUAACUUAGAACUCCGAUAGCGAAGGCAGCUUACCAGACUGCGACUGACGCUGAAGCACGAGAGCGUGGGUAGCGAACAGGAUUAGAUACCCCUGUAGUC
rnacentral:rRNA from 1 species